rnacentral:rRNA from 1 species
CAAACCUGCCUUAAGGAUGGAGAUAACAGACGGAAACGACUGCUAAUACCGAAUACGUUCUAAGCAUCGCAUGGUGCAUAGAAGAAAGGGUGGCCUCUACAAGAAAGCUAUCGCCUUAAGAGGGGUUUGCGACUGAUUAGGUAGUUGGUGAGGUAACGGCUCACCAAGCCGACGAUCAGUAGCCGGUCUGAGAGGAUGAACGGCCACACUGGAACUGAGACACGGUCCAG